GAUGAAGAACGUAGCGAAAUGCGAUAAGUAAUGUGAAUUGCAGAAUUCAGUGAAUCAUCGAAUCUUUGAACGCACAUUGCGCCCGCCAGUAUUCUGGCGGGCAUGCCUGUUCGAGCGUCAUUACAACCCUCAGGCCCCCGGGCCUGGCGUUGGGGAUCGGCGGAGCCCCCCGUGGGCACACGCCGUCCCCCAAAUACAGUGGCGGUCCCGCCGCAGCUUCCAUCGCGUAGUAGCUAACACCUCGCGACUGGAGAGCGGCGCGGCCACGCCGUAAAACACCCAACUCUUCUGAAGUUGACCUCGAAUCAGGUAGGAAUACCCGCUGAACUUAAGCAUAUCAAUAAGCGUAGGA
rnacentral:misc_RNA from 1 species